CAUUUGGAAAGAAGGAGAGAGAACUGGGUGAACAAGGUGGACCCAAGUUAAGGCUGGACCUGGAAAUUAGGCAGAGGAAGUGGCAAUGGUCUCCCCUCGAUAUGAGCCCUGAUGUGUUCUUCAGAGUAGAGCAGCCUGGCUCAGCCUCCUUUGAGGAAGCCAGCUGUUGCCGGUCUAGGGUGCUUCAAGGGGAGGGACAGCAGCGGUCACAAAAGGGCAGGAAACAAUGCAAGUGGGGGCAGCUGGAGGUGACUGGGUGGAGAGGAAAUAUCUAACUUGAGGUCACUUUCAUAGGAAGAAAUAACAGCAGUAUUUGGCAGAGAAGGGCCAUGCAGAGCGGAGCUUCGGUCUCUAGCCUGGGCGUGGAGUGGGGAGGGGCCCAGUGAGUCACCAGGCACAGGCACAGCGGACAUCUCCUUCCAUCAUCUGGUGCGGCUGAUGUACCUGAAGGUGGACAGGAGGGCUGUUCUCUGGCCCAGGCCCCUCAUGAUGACACUGGACUUCAGGUGGAAGAUUUACAGAAACUACUGCAAGGGAAGUGGGAAUUCUGAUCCUCCAAGUUGGAGCUGACUUACUCUUGUUAUCUCCUCCUUGAGCUAACUACUUUCUUAAUGUGUCUUCUUUUCACUUCACUCACAGAAUGUCAUGCUGUGAGCCCUGACUGCCAUUAGACUCACUCUGCUUGAAGGACUCAUUCCAAGAAGCGCACACACUUGACAAGUCACAAGCGUAGCACUCCUGGGUUCAAGGCAUCCUGUGCACUUCCUUGUUCAGGACACAAAGACCCUGGGCCAGACCCCACCUGGUGACCAUGGGGCACAGAGCAGGGAUGCAGUCCAGGGAAGCUGGUUGAAGGUGGUUAAGGAUGGAGGGUGUGACCCUCCCGGAUUUCAGCAGUCUGGGCUGUACAGGUGAGCACUCCCACCGGCUCCAGAGUCCCUGGGCCCCAGCCGGGCCGUCCUUCCUGUGACGGACCAGAGGGCCACCCAGACCAAAGCCCAGGAAAGGAGAGGAGAGGUGGGGGAGGAAGCAAGCACACUUCACACGCCCUCAGCUGCGCCACAGCCCUGCACGGAGGAGCAAGUGUUGUCUGUGUCACGUGGCCCCAUGGAGAAGCCGCCAGCACCUCUGCCUGCCCAGCACUGGGCCAUGGUGACCACCGUGCCUUCGGGAAUUUCGGGCUCUUUUCUUUAGGAAGCCAGCCUGGUCAGCCAGGGGCACAGAUGUUCUUUAAUUACACCCAGAAUAAACAGGCUUUCACCAAGCAACAA